UACGGAGGGGGCGAGCGUUAUUCGGAAUUAUUGGGCGUAAAGGGCGCGUAGGCGGCUCUUUAAGUCAAAGGUGAAAUCCCUCGGCUCAACUGAGGAACUGCCUUUGAAACUGAGGAGCUUGAGUCCGGGAGGGGGUAGCGGAAUUCCCAGUGUAGCGGUGAAAUGCGUAGAUAUCCGGAGGAACACCGGUGGCGAAGGCAGCUCGCUGGGACGUGACUGACGCUGAGACGCGAAAGCGUGGGGAGCAAACAGG
rnacentral:rRNA from 1 species